rnacentral:rRNA from 1 species
UACAGCCAUAUCAUUUUGAAAUACCGGUCCUCGUACAAUCUCCAAAGUUAAGCAAUGCCAAGACUGGUCAAUAUCUAGAUGGGUGACUGCUUGGGAAUACCAGGUGCUGUAAG